rnacentral:rRNA from 1 species
GUGGGGAAUCUUCCGCAAUGGACGAAAAUCUGACGGAGCAACGCCGCGUGAGUGAUGAAGGUCUUCGGAUUGUAAAGCUCUGUUAAUCGGGACGAAAGAGCCUAGUGUGAAUAAUGCUAGGAAGUGACGGUACCGGAAUAGAAAGCCACGGCUAACUACGUGCCAGCAGCCGCGGUAAUACGUAGGUGGCAAGCGUUGUCCGGAAUUAUUGGGCGUAAAGCGCGCGCAGGCGGAUCUGCCAGUCUGUCUUAAAAGUUCGGGGCUUAACCCCGUGAUGGGAUGGAAACUACAGAUCUAGAGUAUCGGAGAGGAAAGUGGAAUUCCUAGUGUAGCGGUGAAAUGCGUAGAUAUUAGGAAGAACACCAGUGGCGAAGGCGACUUUCUGGACGAAAACUGACGCUGAGGCGCGAAAGCCAGGGGAGCGAACGGGAUUAGAAACCCGGGUAGUCC